rnacentral:rRNA from 1 species
AUUGAACGCUGGCGGCAGGCCUAACACAUGCAAGUCGAACGGUAACAGGAAGAAGCUUGCUUCUUUGCUGCCGAGUGGCGGACGGGUGGGUCAUGUCUGGGAAACUGCCUGCUGGAGGGGGAUAACUACUGGAAACGUUAGCUAAUACCGCAUAAUGUCGCAAGACCAAAGAGGGGGACCUUCGGGCCUCUUUCCAUCGGAUAUGCGCAGAUGGAAUUAGCUAGUAGGUGGGGUAACGGCUCACCUAGGCGACGAUCCCUAGCUGGUCUGAGAGGAUGACCAGCCACACUGGAACUGAGACACGGUCCAGACUCCUACGGGAGGCAGCAGUGGGGAAUAUUGCACAAUGGGCGCAAGCCUGAUGCAGCUAUGCCGCGUGUAUGAAGAAGGCCUUCGGGUUGGAAAGUACUUUCAGCGGGGAGGAAGGGAGUAAAGUUAAUACCUGUGCUCAUUGACGGUACCCGCAGAAGAAGCACCGGCUAACUCCGUG